rnacentral:tRNA from 1 species
GUUCUUGUAGCUUAACUUCAAAGCAUAGCACUGAAGAUGCUAGGAUAAACAUAGUUUUAAGAGCA